UAUCCUUAUUUGCCAGUGUGUUAUGGCGGGAACUCUAAGGAGACUGCCGGUGAUAAACCGGAGGAAGGUGGGGACGACGUCAAGUCAUCAUGGCCCUUACGGGAUGGGCUACACACGUGCUACAAUGGCAGGUACAGAGGGCAGCAAUACCGCGAGGUGGAGCGAAUCCCACAAAGCUUGUCGUAGUCCGGAUUGGAGUCUGCAACUCGACUCCAUGAAGACGGAAUCGCUAGUAAUCGUAGAUCAGAAUGCUACGGUGAAUACGUUC
rnacentral:rRNA from 1 species